UCAAGAAAACUGGAAAACGAAUCGCAUAUAAAGGAGAUUUGAGAGACAGCCUCACUCCAUGCUUUCCUAUCAGUUUCUCGCAUUUUCCCGAGAAAAUCUCACGUCAUUUCCAAGAAAAAGCCCUACCACCGUAUGGUUUCCAACCUCAAGCUGUGAUAAGAGAUGUUUCCUCCGGCUGACGACCCUCCCGAUCUAGGGAUCCCACCCAACCGCGGCCCUCUGCCCGUCAGGAGAAACCCUAACUCUAAACCUAACCCUCGCGUUCGUUCUGGCCAUCGACGCAAUGCCCGGCCGCAGGGGAUUCGGGGGGUCCGAGCUCACCGAGGCGCUCUACGUGGGAUUCUUGACGUGUUCUUUUAUUGUUACUGCUUUGUUUCGUAUCUGUUUCUCGCAUUUUACCGAGAAAAUCUCACGUCAUUUCCAAGAAAAAGCCCUACCACCGUAUCGUUUCCAAACUCAAGCUGUGAUAAGAGAUGUUUCCUCCGGCUGACGACCCUCCUGAUCUAGGGAUCCUACCCAACGGCGGCCCUUUGCCCGUCAGGACAAACCCUCGCGUUCGUCCCGGCCAUCAACGCAAUGCCCGGCCGCAGGGGAUUCUGGGGGCCCGAGCUCACCGAGGCGCUCUAUAACAAAAUCGGCGUGAUAGAGCAGGAGUGGUCGUUUCUUGACGGAAUUAAGUCUGGGACAUCGUUGAAGUUCGGGUAGGAAAGUUUGUUAAGGAGGUUUGGAGAGCGGGACUGACUCGAUCAGUUGCGGUCAGAAAUGAGGAUCGGCGUUCGGAGGCCUGGGCUUGCUCUUGUGAGUUUUUGCUUUGAGAAUAGAGAAUGUUUGCGUGAGGUAGUGCAUCUGGAAAUGGAUCACGUUCACCCUUCAAAUUUGAGUCUCCCAUUUCUCUCAAGUCAGGACAAAAUGAGAUUGCUCUUUUGAGCAUGACUGUUGGCCUACAAAAUGCUGGACCAUUUUAUGAAUGGGUUGGAGCAGGGUUAACAAGUGUAAAGAUUAAGGGUUUAAAUAAUGGAAUAAUGGACUUGUCUACAUAUCCUUGGACCUAC